UACGUAGGGUGCGAGCGUUGUCCGGAAUUAUUGGGCGUAAAGAGCUCGUAGGCGGUUUGUUGCGUCGGCCGUGAAAACCUGCAGCUUAACUGUGGGCCUGCGGCCGAUACGGGCAGACUUGAGUUCGGUAGGGGAGACUGGAAUUCCUGGUGUAGCGGUGAAAUGCGUAGAUAUCAGGAGGAAUACCGAUGGCGAAGGCAGGUCUCUGGGCUGACACUGACGCUCAUGCACGAAAGCGUGGGGAGCAAACAGG
rnacentral:rRNA from 1 species